GCCCGUGGCGUAGCAUGAGCAAUCGAGAGCGCAUCCUUGGUAAGGCUGAGGUCGUGAGUUCAAUCCUCACCGGCAGCACCA
rnacentral:tRNA from 1 species